rnacentral:rRNA from 1 species
AGAGUUUGAUCCUGGCUCAGGAUGAACGCUGGCGGCGUGCCUAACACAUGCAAGUCGAACGAAGCGCCUUUUGAGAUUCUUCGGAUGAUCGAUUGGUGACUGAGUGGCGGACGGGUGAGUAACGCGUGGGUAACCUGCCCUGUACAGGGGGAUAACAGCUGGAAACGGCUGCUAAUACCGCAUAAGCGCACGAGGAGACAUCUCCUUGUGUGAAAAACUCCGGUGGUACAGGAUGGGCCCGCGUCUGAUUAGCUGGUUGGCAGGGUAACGGCCUACCAAGGCAACGAUCAGUAGCCGGUCUGAGAGGAUGAACGGCCACAUUGGAACUGAGACACGGUCCAAACUCCUACGGGAGGCAGCAGUGGGGAAUAUUGCACAAUGGGGGAAACCCUGAUGCAGCAACGCCGCGUGAGUGAAGAAGUAUUUCGGUAUGUAAAGCUCUAUCAGCAGGGAAGAUAAUGACGGUACCUGACUAAGAAGCUCCGGCUAAAUACGUGCCAGCAGCCGCGGUAAUACGUAUGGAGCAAGCGUUAUCCGGAUUUACUGGGUGUAAAGGGUGCGUAGGUGGCAGUGCAAGUCAGAUGUGAAAGGCCGGGGCUCAACCCCGGAGCUGCAUUUGAAACUGCAUAGCUAGAGUACAGGAGAGGCAGGCGGAAUUCCUAGUGUAGCGGUGAAAUGCGUAGAUAUUAGGAGGAACACCAGUGGCGAAGGCGGCCUGCUGGACUGUUACUGACACUGAGGCACGAAAGCGUGGGGAGCAAACAGGAUUAGAUACCCUGGUAGUCCACGCCGUAAACGAUGAAUA